UCUACCCCUAGAGUUGUUGUAGUUAUAGCUGCUGUGUCACAUGUGCAUCGGUAGGUUGCAGGGUUGAGAGGAUCAGUUGUCUAGGCUCAGUGUUGUGACCUAUGGACAUCUGAAUGAUUAGUGGAUUAACAAA